UAUAAAUAAAUUUAUGCGAUUUUAAUACGUGUGCAGGGCACAGUAAUUUUUCAAAGAUUAAAUAAUAACAUCAAAAUUCACUAGAAGCCACAUUUUCUAUUCGAGCUUUUUGCUUAUGCCGUUUUUUAUAUCGAGAUUCUUGAAAGAUUAAAUGAAUUUAAUGCGAAGAGCGAUGUGGAAAGCAGCGCCGUUUCGACUCUCCCAACGAUUAUUUUCUCCGAAGAGAAACAAAUCCUAUUCGUAAAGCUGCUCCAACAGCAAUGUAAACAUCAAAAAGAUGAAGGGACUCGAGAACUUUAUUUUAUGUACAUAUCUCCAGUCUGCUUUGGCUUGAGUUUCGACGCAAUUCCCGUCUAACAGUAAUUGAGUCCGCGUAUUGAACAAACAUAAAAAUAUAUCGCUAUUGAUAUACGCUAUUGACGAUCAUUGCUGUUCGUGGAUAAAACACUCCCGAAAUUCUAAUUUAUCCCAAUAACCCGAAAUCGUUACGGAAUUUGAAAAAUGAGGUUAUGUCGCUCGGGACACAGUAAUUAAAACGUCCACCAGAUGUCGUUGUGGAAUUUGUGAUUUCCCAAUGCCCUCCACGUAACACGUAACCCUGUCCAUAAAAAAGUAUAGCAGCACGGUACACUCGUGUUCACGAGUACACUCUGUUCACAAGUAAAAAAUAAUCGUAAAGCAAGAACGAGAAAAAAACGUGAAUCGAUUUCCCCAAAGAUUUCCCGUCAGUAAACUGCUGGAGAUCGGCAUGAUUCGAGCCAUGUAGAGGAGGUUAGAGUCCGGGUAUUUGUAAAUUACGGGAAAGCCUUCACGCGACAAGUACCUUAUUCAAGCAUAGUAUUCCCUCCGUAUGUGUUGGUCUCUCGAAGCCUUUAUGGACAGUGCUCGUUCUGAUAAGGUAUGGCGGGGACAGCUAGCUCGUGCCACCUCGCGUACAACCAGACUCCGGGCUUUCGAAUACGCGAUUUAUAAAUACGAUCUCGUGAAUACUGCGCUAUAUUAAGUCUACGUAUAAAUAGUGGUGUAUAAGUGUAAAUGAAAUACGUGUGUAGCAUGCACAGAUAAACGUUUUUUCAGCUACAUAUGUCGUGGCACAAAUAUACGGUUUUGUACAUAUAUCGUAACAUUAAUAUACGUAUAUUUUAUCUUUACGUACCGUAACGUGUAUAUACCUGUAUGGAGAACACAUGGACGUCGUUGUCGCCCAACAGGGAGUGGCCUAAGCAUAAAAAGCCUUCGAGACAACGAAACAAAAAGAAAAAGGAAACGAACCUAGCCGGUUGUGUGCAUGUGCACACGCGCUCGUUUUGUGCUCUCCUUUCUUCUGUCGUUUCAACCUCUGCGCACUUAUAUGAACUUCGGUCUCUGCACUCUUUUCGAUGUCUCAAGGAAUAUUUGACUACUGAUUAUUGCUUUGUGAAUUCGAGAUGGAAAAGGCUUGGCAUCUGAUACUUUGUAUCGAAGAAUCUGUCGGAUUUGAAUUCGCAAGGAAUAUCGAAGUGGAACGAAACGAGAUCGCCAAUCGCGAAACAUCCGACACGAAACGCUUUGAGGAAACGUUUUCAUUUCUUUCUCUCAACGAGAAACUAAAAUUUUGAAAAUCUUCUUUCCAAAUCGAUCUUUUGAAAAACAUCAAUUUUGAAUCCGGUUCUUGUGAAAAUUCAAAUAAAGACUCGAGGCUAACAAAAAAUCUUUCAGCAAGCGCAGUGAAUGUUUCAUUUUAACCAAAGUUAUUCCAAAAAACAAAUAAAUCAAAAAAAUACCCUACACAUAUCACGGAAUUCGUCGAACUAAAACAGUUUCCAUGCGAUCGGAAUAUUUCUUCGUGGUGUCGAAAAGUUUUGAAAAAUUGUGAAAUGAGUCGAGAACAGUUUAGAAUCGAAGCGAUGGGUCCAGUUGGCGUUGAAAUCCUCGCACACGUGAUUCCGCUUCAGACUUGUUCCAGUUCACCGAUCGCGGCUUGCAUAAACGAGAUUCUGGCUCUCGCACAUAAAUGGAGGUAUAUAUAUAUAUUAUCAUAUAUAAAUGCAAAUAUAGAAACACACUUAUGUGAGUGCGGAACAAAACGAGAUAAAAAUUUAAAUGAAAAAGAUAAAAAAAAAAAAAAAGAAAUCUAUGCACUACGCGAUGCGAUAUGGGAGUGGUCGCGCGGCCGCGAUAGCGUUUAUAAUAAUAUUCCUAUAACACUUUUUUCUAUCGAUUUAUUAUUUUUCACUUCUACGCUCGUUUUUUGUUUUUUUUUUAUUUCUAUUUUAUCAACAUAUAUUGAAAAGUCCUUCUCAACAGUCUUUCACAUCUGUAUUAACGAUUCAAUUUCAAACCGGAAUUUAAGCUCUUGUAUCGAAGAGAUUUCUGUCAUUUAUUAUUCACCCUCGACUGAAAAAUUUUCUGUUUUAUCUCAUCAUAUUUAUGCGUGACGAUGCGAUUGAGUUCCAAGGCGGACUGUCAAUAGAAGAUAAUCGAAUGGGAAUCGAUUGGGUAAAUGUGUGUAAGUUGUAAAGAAAUACGAAACAACAAAAUUAGAAAAAAUGGCCGGAGGUUUCGUAUUUCGAUAAAGUCUCGUUGAAAAGUUUACUUUAUUGAUUCUUUUGGAUUUACAACGCCGAUUGUUGACAUGUGUUUUUGUUGGCUUAUUCGUCGUCUUAUUUCGAUGUUUUUCUCGAGUUGUUUUAUUUUCAGUGAAUAAUAUGUAUUGGAAUAUUGUCGGCCCGAUCUCUUCUCGUUCGCGAGAAAGUUUGCUCGCAGCCAUCUCGCGGAUCGCAGCAAAAGUAUGAGAGUCGUUGCUGGGCAGGAGGGGGAAAAACGUUAACUCGUGUCGCUGGUGUCGCGGGUGACGCCGCCGAAUGACAAUAAGUUUCGCGUACAUUUGAAUAAUGGAAUUGAAGCGAUCAAUAACAAUUUCGUAAAACGGUCCGUAGCGAUUAAUAUUGUGGGUACGUCCGCGAAUGAAGUGACGCGCGAGAGCGUGCGUGUGUAUUACAAAUCGACAAGGUGAUUGGCCGAUUGUAAGACGUAAUUAGACCGGGGGAUCCGGAGCGAGAACAAGAUGAGGUAAAAGGAAAAGAAAGAGCAAAGGAGAGGUUAUGCGCGAAGAUCGCUGAAGUUCCAGCGUCCGAGUUGUCCCAAUGCUUUUAUGCGCGAGGCUCGAGCGCCCGAGAGACCAAAAGAGAGAAGGAGAGAGAGAGAGAGAGAUGAAGGAGCAGAAGGAAGGAGGAGCGCCCCCUGGAGCCACCGAAAGAAAACCUGUUCGGUUGGUCGUCCGAGAGAGCGACGACCAAUAUAUGGUCCGUGAGGUUAUGCUGUGUAUGGCUUGCCAAUACAAGAGUAUAAUAGGAAAGAAGAGGUGGGGCUGAUCGCGAGGGCGAAAGAGAGACGACGGAAGAAAGAGCAAUAAAAAAUAUAUAUCUGUAUAGAGAGCGUUGAAAAAAGGAGAUAAAAUAAAAUAAAUCGAAAAGAAUAAAGCAGAGAGAAAGGCCUCAGGCGCGCCCGUGCUGCAUACGAUUACGAAGCAUACACACUGGACCGAUCUGGAUUUCGGUUAGCGACAACGCUCUGUUAUUAUGUAUAGGUAUAUAUACACACGAAUAUAUUUAUAUAUUUGAAAAACAUUCAAGCCCUGUGUACGUGAGCAUACUGUAUAAUCUUGACAAGCCCAGAAACCCUUCGGGCACCACCAUUAAAUAUUGCUCGCUUUCUCGUACAUUUUCGUUCUUUAUUUUUUAUCUUUAUAUGUCCUUUUUAUCGCUUUUUUAUUGCCCUCCCUUACGCUAUUGUUAUUUCACUUUCGCAUUUGAUCUUCCUGCUUUUCUUCUCUUGCCCCCUUCCCAUAUUCUCAUGCUCUCGUUAGUCUUCGUUGCAGUGCUCAUUUUCUUCAUUGCUGCUGCUGCUACGUCCUCGAAGUUCUGACGAUCUUUCGUUGCCUUCGUUUUAAUGACGUUUCAGACGGUUUCAUCGGCCUGUAAGUAUCCUCAGGUACUCGAAAUAUAUUUUUCAUCGUUCUUUUUACACUCGAGCUUACCUGAACUCGUGGUAUUUUACUUUAACGAUUGUCUUAUGUGAUUUUAUUAAGCAUAAUCGCAAUGCAACAUUCGGCCGAAAAGAGGGAUGUGCAGCGUGUAUGUCGGGCAACCGGCGGAUUCGAGCGAACUCUUUCAACCUUGGGAUUAAUGGUAGUCCCUGUCUGGGCCUGCAGGGCGUAGGUGUGUCCUCGACUCUCCGUGCAGCUCUUAUUUUUCCUUUCGCUGUUGCUCGUGUUUUUUUUUUAAAUCCGAGUUCACCGAGCAAACUCAAAGUCAAGAUUUCUGCGAAUGUUCUCAUUAUUUUUCCAACUUCAAAAUUCUUUCACGCGUCGUCAUCAGAGCAUUUGAAUUUAGAUUAAAUACGCUGGGAGAAAAUGACUCGGAGCACGAGAUUCGAGGGCGAGUGAACUCGACAAAUUUUCAAUGUUUCAAAACAAGCCUGUGGCAUGAGUGACGUAUCGACAUUUUGCUGCAUUCCUGCGAGGCACAAUUGUCCGGAUUCCUUGGGACUGAGGGAACGAUGAGGGCAGAACAUCUACGAGGCUUCGCCGGUACUGAAAGAAGCUCCAGAACUAUGGCAUCGAUCAUCAUCCUGCAUACGACACCGAUACACCUGGGAGACAGACACUGAGAGAAAGGGACACGGAGGGGGAGCUCGAUUGACCCCACAAGAAAAAACUAAGCAUGAGAAGGCGGAGAAAAAAAUUUUGGACACUUCCUGCGCCGCCCAAAGAGUGUUGAACGUUCUUAAUGAUUAUCUUCAUAAAAUUUAAUGAUCCUUUUACAAUUUUCUGCGGUAUACGAAGUAUCUCCAAACGUUAUUACUCACUUUUAUCGCCUUUUUUUUUCUUAUUGUUCGUUUUUUCUUUCAUCCUUUUCGGUUUACACGAUCCUUUUACGAUUACAGAGAGCUGAACGAAAUUUUUCCCCUUCUCCAGGAUGCAUCGGAAGGAAUAGGCUGAGGAAUGUGCGCGCACAAGGAGAGGCUUCAAAUUUCAAGGAUCUCACGUCGCACUCCCCUUUUGCUGAAGCAUCGAGCGACCGGGCAAGCCUAAAUUCGAUCGAAUCAUUUCGUUUGCUCGCUUUGGCCACCAAUCAUUCGAAAUGUUGAACGAAUACUGGGAAAUUUUAUCCUCGUUUCUGGUGCUCUCUGUCGGCGAAUGUCCUCCAGCGGCCUUCCAACGAUUCAACGCUAAAAAAGAAACAAUGAGCUCCGUCAGAAAGUUCAAGAAAAAGAAGGGAAACUCUUACGAGCAAGAAAAUCGAGAUCUUCGCGUGUCAGGUCACUUCUCGGCUCCGUUGCUCGUCGGAGAAAGCGCCCAAUUUUUUCACAUUGAAAAUUCGUAGCACGUGCUACAUCCACGCCCAUGAAGCGACGCUGCACUUAACGCAGCUCUCUGCUCGAUCGUGGGGAUUGAGAUGGAGCGAGGAAGUGCAAUUUUACACCGAACAAUGGUGGGCUUUUCGUGGUAAAUUUUCGGCCCAUUUUCUUACCUUUUGCUCGUCGAUUCCACACGAAAAACAACUUUUCCUUAAAAUUUUACGAAAAAACAAAACAUCAAAGUGACGAUGAAAAAUCACAGUUUUAACGAACAAAAUUAGCAGUUAUUUUUAGAAAUUUUGAGAACGUUAGAAAAUUAUGAAAAUAUUGAAGUUAUUAUUUUUAUUUUUCGUCCAAGCCAACGAAUAGAAAAGGAGGAGAAACAGGUCCUGCAGAAACCGAAGAAGAUCUCAAGAACGAAGGAAUAAAGUCAACAGCCAUCCUCCGGACGUGCAAGAUCUCGACAAAAACCUCUUUUCGUCCCCGCCGACAUUCAGCUCCGUCGUGAAAAUGUGUAAACCCGUCCGGGCGUCCACGAGGAUACAAACACAAAUAGGAUUUAGAAACGGCUGCACCGAGCGACAGGUAGUCACACGGGAUGUUUCUUCUUUUCCGAAAUCACUCGAAAGCUUGAAAUAAUAGCAGUUUUUCCUGUUUCUUGCCGCAUCUACAAAUACCAAACUGUUUUAAAAAGUCCUUUGAAUUUACGUGACUGCGCAUGUGGUCCCUCAUUUCGUAUCUUGCUGUUUCGUCUCGCGAAAAACCGAGGAUAUUUACCUUCGUGAAAAGAAAUUCGGAAUUUUUCAUCCUGUCAUGGUCUUGUCUGUGAAUGAACGCUUGUUACGAAAAUCCCUUUUUUCUAAUGACACCAUUUACUUGGAAAGUCGUUCCCACGACGUGAAAAGUCAAUCGGAAUUUCGGUGAAAAUCGUUACGGAACGACUCAACGAAAUUAAGCAGUCGCGUCAAGUUAUUCAAUCAAAGUCCACGAUGAAGUUUACAAAGCAAUAAACCAUAUGAAUGACCGUUCACAGUUUCUCUCACAAAAGAUAAUAGCUCGAGGCUAACCUCAACUUUUUAUGCACGAUUAGAUUCCUCUACGUUUUAUCGCGGUCAUAAAAGUAGAGGAAAAAAAAAUUCAUCACUUCGCGCCUAUAAAUUAUCGUUGAAAUUGUCAAUACAAAUGUUUUAUUUCCUUUUCAUUCGUUCAAGACUAAUGGAUUUAGAAAAAUUCCGGUUUUUCAACAAUUUCUUGUGCUAAUGAUCCCCAUCUCCGGUCUCGAUCCAUUAGCAGACGUUAAAAUGCGUUACGGUCCCGUUAACUGUUUUGUACAGAUAAAAUCCAUGAGGCGUACUGUCGCAACGUCUCCGUUUACAAAUAUACUGCAAGAAGAGGGUGCGCGUGUGGCUGAGAUUGAAGGAAAAAACAAGGAGAACCAGCUGCACACACUCCACGCCUCUUUGCAACUGUAUACCACUAUAAAUACGUAUACGGGGUGUCGCUAGUUGAAAAUCAAAACAUUACAUUUCCCGACGAUCUUCGAACGCUCCGGUGAGAACGAAACUUCAAAAUUUUUCGCCAUUUCUUACGAUCCAAACGAACGAUCUACUGAAAUCGCCCAGAAAAAUUUCAAUUUUUUUAUAAAAACAAUUUCCUUGAAAUUUUUUCAAUGACGAUCGAACCUCGCAAAAUUACCCACGAGAAGAGAUUUGCCAAAAAGUUACGAUUCGUUCUCCCCGGCUAUUUCGAUCGUCAAGCAUGUUUUACGCUGCUUUGUCUUGUUUUUAUGUUCUCCCACACACACACAAGCGUUGCACGAGUAACUUUCAAGACACCCGGUUUGUUUGUUUGAACCCAUACACGAGUAAAUACGAGUCUACGAUCACACACACGCUCUCGGUCGCUUCUACGACCUCUACGCAUUCUGCGUGUGUUUGAAUAUGAAUUUUAACGAGCACGUAUGUACUCGAACACAUAUUUACAUAAAUACAGUAGAUGAGGGGCUCCGCAGAGCUGUACGAGUUCGAGAAGAGCCGCUUCGAAGAAAGCUACCGGUGGUUGUUACUUUCACGCUGUGGCUCCGAGGAGAAAAAGUUUCGAGGGUGAAAGACGAUGACGAAAAAACGACACGUGCAACAGGUCCUUUCUGCACCCUGAAGAGCCUCGCGUCACUUUACCCUGCCGAGGAUCCAUCACAAGCUUCCAGACUCCCCGUGGCGUGGAUUAUCAAAUUUCCACGCAGUUUCUAUUUUUAGAAAACACCUUCGUUUCUCGCAGCCUCCUUAUUCUGUGUGUCCAUGUGUGCGUGUUUGGUUUCCCCUCCGAAAAUCACUGUGUCGAAGUGGAACAUGAUUUUUUGUGGAGACACUUUGAUGGAGAUUCCUGGGAGAUGAUUUAUUUUCGAAAAUUGUUAAUGCUCGGCAUAAUUUUAUUGCUGAGCGGGGCCUGCUCGUUAGGAAUUCAACUGUAAACAGCAAUCGAUGAAUUUCGAAGAAAUUUAUUUCGACAAGAAUUGAGGAAAAAAGUAAUUCACGUGAUUUUGAAAUUUGGCGGAGAUCCUUUCAGAGAGAGCAGUAAAUAAUUUUGAAAAUUCGUGCCAAAGUUUUAUUAAAAUUGACAAAAGAGAGUUUGUCCAAAUAAUUCGAAAGCGCACGUGGGAAAAUUGUAUCUUCCAAUGACAUUUCAGCGGCUUUCUCAUUGUUUUUCUUCAUCUUGGUUUCAUCGAGAGUGAGAGGAAGACAGAAACGAAGAAAAACGCGAGAGGUCAAGCGUCUCUCAUCCGAUGCAUGAAUCAACAAAGGGAGGUCGCGACGUUAGCCGCUAACGGAGAGAGGUUCCAUCAUCAAGAGGCACAAGAUUGAGAAGAAGAUUGAGAAGAUUGGCAGCAAUCAGACCGGGAGCGAAAUGCGUUCUCGCUCUCCGUUAUUUUCUUCAGCUCUCAGUUGUCCCACCCACGAUAAAACGUUUCGUGACUAAUCCUACGUUCGCCAAUUUGGAUUGUUCACUUAUUAUUUAAAGGGGCGACCAAAUGAACGAUAAUGUUGAAUUUCUUCUGGAAGAAUUCCGAAUCUCGACUCGAGUUGUCCAACGAAAAUAGUCCAGCGAAGAAAGUCUCGGUUGAGCUUUCAGCUCGGUAAGCUUGAUCGUUACGAAUAAAGUGAGAAUGAGAAGCGCGAGGCGGCACGAAAACCGGGAGACGAGUAUACGUAGGAGGCAAAAUAAAGAGCGCGUAGGUGUCGGAGGACGAAAGGCUACGAAGAGUCUGAAUAGCCACUCUCGCGGGGAGCACAUUUAAGCGAGCAACAAAACGAGAUAAGUUGCGAGGACUCGGGGCACGAGGCCUCGCACGAGAUUGUUGGCUUUGAGAAGAAGAGCCGUUAAAGAAGCCAACGAAGCUGAGAGAGUAACUCCCCGAGAGUCAAUUCUUUAUCGAAACUUGGAGAAGAAAUGAAUGUAUAUUUACUACCGAGUUUCGGAGAUAAAAUGAUGCAAAUGAAGAUGAGCCUCAAUCGUGGAGAACGCCCACGAUAUGGAAAAAAAAACUGCGACUAAAAUUGCGAAUUUUAUGUCCAUUAUACCAAAGACACAUGUUUCCGUCUCCUUUUUAAUAAAUUUUUCAAAACCCCGUUUUUUUUACAACCUCGUACACAAAUAGGAACACACGGGACUUGGAAAUAGUUUUCAAAUUUACCACUCGAAUUUAUUGCCAUCGAUUAAUAUUGUGAUUGAGUCAUUUACAAUUAUUUCUUUUGUUAAUAAAAUGUCAAGCAAUAAUUGCCCGAUUG